rnacentral:rRNA from 1 species
GGAUUGGCUCUGAGGGUUGCGUGCNGGGGUCCUUGCCCUGAUGUUUGAGCUGAGCAGAAGCUACUUGUUGCCGUCUGGUGGAUAGUGGAUUCAUGCACGGCGAGAAUUUUCAGACAAGGAGUGUCUUUNNNGGCUUUUCCCUGUGCAGUGAACGACCAACUCAGAACU